rnacentral:rRNA from 1 species
GACAGAGGGGGCAAGCGUUGCUCGGAAUUACUGGGCGUAAAGAGCUUGUAGGUGGUUUGUCGCGUUGUUCGUGAAAUCUCACGGCUUAACUGUGAGCGUGCGGGCGAUACGGGCAGACUAGAGUACUGCAGGGGAGACUGGAAUUCCUGGUGUAGCGGUGGAAUGCGCAGAUAUCAGGAGGAACACCGGUGGCGAAGGCGGGUCUCUGGGCAGUAACUGACGCUGAGAAGCGAAAGCGUGGGGAGCGAACAGG